rnacentral:rRNA from 1 species
UACGUAGGGGGCAAGCGUUGUCCGGAUUUAUUGGGCGUAAAGAGCGUGUAGGCGGCUUGGUAGGUCCGCUGUGAAAACUCGAGGCUCAACCUCGAGAUGUCGGCGGAAACCACUUGGCUAGAGUCCGGAAGAGGAGAGCGGAAUUCCUGGUGUAGCGGUGAAAUGCGCAGAUAUCAGGAAGAACACCUAUGGCGAAGGCAGCUCUCUGGGACGGUACUGACGCUGAGACGCGAAAGCGUGGGGAGCGAACAGG